GUAUAUAAUUAUAUAGAUAUGUGUAUGUGUGAGUCUAUAAAGAAGCAUAAAAGCAUCAUAUGGAACUCUCUCCACAAAACAAUACCAAAAACAUAAUGGUGGUGUUGGCUCUUCUUUGAAGAACCUCUCGGAGUUGGAAUCCGCUGUCUUGACCAGCGGGUUCUCUUAUAUAUGUAAAUAGGGCAACUCGGAUCCUUUGGCAUUUCCUCGAUGUGGGAUUGAAGAAGAAGAAGAUGUCUGUAUCUUCUUCCCUUUGAGAGUUCUGAUCAAAUUGUGUUGGUUCAUAGUUUCACUUUUUCUGGUUUGUAUUAUUUACCUCUUCUUGUCUCUCACUCUCUUUUCAUAUAUAUUUGUUUGUGGUUUCUGUUAUAAACUUGAUAAUUACUACCCCAUAGUUUAUGAGAUGAUGCUGAGUUUUAAAUUUUAAAGUCUGUA
rnacentral:sRNA from 1 species